UACGUAGGGUGCGAGCGUUGUCCGGAAUUAUUGGGCGUAAAGAGCUUGUAGGCGGUUUGUCGCGUCUGCUGUGAAAAUCCGGGGCUCAACCCCGGACUUGCAGUGGGUACGGGCAGGCUAGAGUGUGGUAGGGGAGACUGGAAUUCCUGGUGUAGCGGUGAAAUGCGCAGAUAUCGGGAAGAACACCCGUGGCGAAGGCGGUUCUCUGGGACGGUACUGACGCUGAGACGCGAAAGCGUGGGGAGCGAACAGG
rnacentral:rRNA from 1 species